AGAAUCAACGCUGGCGGCGUGCCUAACACAUGCAAGUCGCACGAGAAAGGGACUUCGGUCCUGAGUAUAGUGGCGCACGGGUGAGUAACACGUGAAUAAUCUACCUCCGAGUGGGGAAUAACUGAGAGAAAUCUUAGCUAAUACCGCAUAACACUUACGAGUCAAAGCAGCAAUGCGCUUGGAGAGGAGUUCGCGGCAGAUUAGUUAGUUGGCGGGGUAAUGGCCCACCAAGACUGUGAUCGGUAUCCGGCCUGAGAGGGCGCACGGACACACUGGAACUGAAACACGGUCCAGACUCCUACGGGAGGCAGCAGUGGGGAAUUUUGCGCAAUGGGGGAAACCCUGACGCAGCAACGCCGCGUGGAGGAUGAAGCCCCUUGGGGCGUAAACUCCUUUCGAUCGGGAAGAUAAUGACGGUACCGAGAGAAGAAGCCCGGCUAACUUCGCGCCAGCAGCCGC
rnacentral:rRNA from 1 species